CACGUAGGGGACGAGCGUUGUCCGGAUUCAUUGGGCGUAAAGCGCGUGUAGGCGGUCCGGUAAGUCCGCUGUGAAAGUCGAGGGCUCAACCCUCGAAUGCCGGUGGAUACUGUCGGGCUAGAGUGCGGAAGAGGCGAGUGGAAUUCCUGGUGUAGCGGUGAAAUGCGCAGAUAUCAGGAGGAACACCUAUUGCGAAGGCAGCGUCGCUGGGACGUUACUGACGCUGAGACGCGAAAGCGUGGGGAGCAACAGG
rnacentral:rRNA from 1 species